rnacentral:sRNA from 2 species
UAUUCUGCCCCACGGGGAAGGAUGAGAAGCUUCGACUAAGGUUCGACUCGAGCGUAGCGAGAGAACGUUGCCGCAGGCAACGGCCCGAAGGGCGAGGCGCUUUAGCGCCGAGUCAUCCUUCCCCCACCACCA